GUGCAGCCACUAACCAAUGUUUCCAUUUAAUUAAAGAUUUGGUAGUUUUGUUCGAAAAUUAUUAGUACAAAAUAUACUGUAUUAUGUAAGAGAGUAGAGAAAUCACAUGGAGAUGGUGGGCUACUUGAAAAUAUCAGCUAAUGCAAACUGAAACAACCAAUCGUUGAGAAUCUGACACGCACUUGACGACGGAACAACAUAGAAGAAUUAUAUACAAAUUUUAGAAGGAGAAUGAGUAGAGAAGCUAACCAAGAAUUGGUAAUGGGGCUGGUGGUGAUUCUGUUGGAAGUUCAUCAGAGAGCUUCUUUGAAUCCUCUGACAUGAUUAAGAUAAAAGAAACUAUAUUCUUUAGAGAUUAUUUAUCUUUCUCUCAGUCUAUGGUAUCUUGAUUUCAUCAAUUCUAUUUCUUGCUUACAAUAAUUGGGAAUUAAUAAUGGAGUAAUAUUAAUAAUAAUAUCUACUGCCGGCCAACAAGUUGUACCCACUUAUACUUUUUCAAGGUACAUCUGAUCUUGCAGAUUGUAUACCUACUAAUCAAACUGA